ACUUAGAUUUUUGAUUACCCGCUCACUACUACCUCUUCUUCUCAUCUCAGUCGUGUGCCCUAAAUCCCCAAAUAAAAGUUUGUUUUUCUUCAGCUGAAAUCCCCCAAAUUUCCCAUUUCCAACAACAACAGUCAAUACACCUACACCAAUUACACUUCUUUUUCCUUUUCAUUUCACUGCACUGAAUUCACUCACCAUAGCUACUCAUUUUCUCUCAAUCUGUUAGGGUUUCUUUUAAUUUUAGGCUUUCAAUACAGUUUCCUUUUAAACUGGAAGGAGUUGAAAGAUAAAGGAAACGAAGAGGGGAGUAAGGCUGUUCGCUGAAAUAAAGAGAUAAAAAAAAGGUUGAAGAAGAUGAUUUUCAGGUUUUUUUUACGGUAAGGUGUUCCACGAGCACCUUCUUGGAAUUAACUGUGUUAAAUGGAGCUGCUUCCUUUUCACUGUUUACUUGGCAUAUUGGUUGGUUACAAUGCGUAGAGAUCCCCAAGUUUGUUGACACAGUCACUCCUCAAUUCAAACCGAAAUUUGAUGCAUUGUUAAUAGUUGGUUGAAUUGAAAGAAGCAGAGGAGAAAUCUUUGGAAGAGUCCGAGCGUUUGGAGAAAGACAUUGCCGACGUUUAGGAACUGAAGCAAAGAUCAGCACCAUGAUAGUAGAUGAGUACUUUGAGAAACAUCCCGAACUGAAAAAGAAAUUCGAUGAUGAAAUCCGCAAUGACAAUUGGGGAUAUUGAGACAUGUUUGGUAAUAUAAGGGUCAAGCCACAAACUUGCUACAUAUGUAUGAUUAGUACUGACCAGGAAAGGUUUCUCGUAUAGAGUUACCUUUAUAGAAUUAUGCAUGCUUGGUAUCGUCUUGUUAUCAGGGGAUCCAAUAAUCUUAAACCUAAAACUAGUAUAUCGAAUAGCAAGACAGCCUUGUGUAAAGCAACAAUUGGUUUUGGAAUAUAAUAGACAAUAUUUCACUUGCAGUUUGUAAAAUUGUCUUGAUUUUAAUAAAAAGAAAAUGCAGCAUGUUGAAUUGUCGGCUAGAAGAGAUGUAUUGAAGAUCUUCAAUGAAGUCAUUGAUGCUACAGUGUCGGGAUUCUUGUUCAUAUUGAUUUUGGUUUCAUCUUGGAAACAUCACCAGGUGGAAAUAUGCGGUUCAAGAGUGCACAUUUCAAGUUGAGCCAUGAGAUGACUCAAUUACUAGACCCAUCGGGAGUUAUGAAAAGUGAAACCUGGGACAACUUUGUAAGGUGAUUUCUUCUUUGCUCGAUUUUAUACUUCUAUCUUAUCUGCAUACCUUUCAUUUUAUCUUUAUUGUCCAAGUCAUGUGAGUUUUUUCUUUGUCAAAUGCUUGCAGCUUGUGGUUUGAGUUUUUUCAUUUUAUCUGCAUACCUUUCAUCUCAUCUUACUUCUAUAUACAGCGAUGACAUAUUAAAUGCUUAUUAGUAAAAAUCCACAAGAUCAUACAUGCAGGCACAAGAUCCUAUAUGAUGAUGUGGUUGGAUUUACUAGUGAAGUUACUUGUGCAUGUGUCUUGUUAUAGGAUAAUCAUUCCUAGGUACUGUAAUGAAUAUUUUACUUAAUAAGU